AAUAGAGAAGAGGGUGCAUGGAAAUGGGUUUUAACAGGUCAUUUCUUGCAGCCGCCGUGAUCAUUCUGGUUGUCUCCGCCGCGCUUGGAGGCGAAGCAACGAGACUUCUCACUUCAACUUAUGAGACAGGAGAAAACAUGGGACGGAACUUGGAGUCGCAAGCAACCCCUGACAGCUAUCCCUGGGUGGACGGUCCGGUCGAGUACAUGGUCAGUGGCGCCGACGAAGGCUAGCUCUUGUAGAGCGAUGACAUCAAAUUGAUUGCUAUGUAAUGGAUAUGGAGUAGAUAUGUCACACAAUAAUAAACAUUCUACUCGCCGAUAUAUAUAUAGAAAGAGUUACUUUCUUA